UACGAAGGGGGCUAGCGUUGCUCGGAAUUACUGGGCGUAAAGCGCACGUAGGCGGAUCGUUAAGUCAGGGGUGAAAUCCUGGGGCUCAACCCCAGAACUGCCUUUGAUACUGGCGAUCUCGAGUCCGGAAGAGGUGAGUGGAACUCCUAGUGUAGAGGUGGAAUUCGUAGAUAUUAGGAAGAACACCAGUGGCGAAGGCGGCUCACUGGUCCGGUACUGGACGCUGAGGUGCGAAAAGCGUGGGGGAGCGAACAGGG
rnacentral:rRNA from 1 species